AAGACAACAGGAUUGCCCAGUAACGGCGAGUGAAGCGGCAAAAGCUCAAAUUUGAAAUCCUGCGGGAAUUGUAAUUUGAAGGUUUCGUGGUCUGAGUCGGCCGCGCCCAAGUCCAUUGGAACAUGGCGCCUGGGAGGGUGAGAGCCCCGUAUGGCGCACGCCGACUCUUUGCACCGCGGCUCCGACGAGUCGAGUUGUUUGGGAAUGCAGCUCUAAGUGGGUGGUAAAUUCCAUCUAAAGCUAAAUAUUGGCGAGAGACCGAUAGCGAACAAGUACAGUGAUGGAAAGAUGAAAAGCACUUUGAAAAGAGAGUGAAACAGCACGUGAAAUUGUUGAAAGGGAAGGGCUUGCAAGCAGACACGGUUUUACCGGGCCAGCGUCGAAAAGGGGGGAGGAACAAGAACUCGAGAAUGUGGCGCGCACCUUCGGGCGCGCGUGUUAUAGCUCGUGUUGACGCCUCCAUCCCUUUUCGAGGCCUGCGAUUCUAGGACGCUGGCGUAAUGGUUGCAAGCCGCCCGUCUUGAAACACGGACCAAGGAGUCUAACGUCUAUGCGAGUGUUUGGGUGCAAAACCCCAGCGCGGAAUGAAAGUAAGAGGUUGGAGCCGCAAGGCGCACAAUCGACCGACCCUGAAGUGCUCGGACGGGUUUGAGUAGGAGCAUACUGUUGGGACCCGAAAGAUGGUGAACUAUGCCU
rnacentral:rRNA from 1 species